rnacentral:rRNA from 1 species
CCUACGGGUGGCUGCAGUGAGGAAUAUUGGUCAAUGGACGAGAGUCUGAACCAGCCAAGUCGCGUGAAGGAUGACUGCCCUAUGGGUUGUAAACUUCUUUUAUAUGGGAAUAAAACGUUCCACGUGUGGGAUUUUGUAUGUACCAUAUGAAUAAGGAUCGGCUAACUCCGUGCCAGCAGCCGCGGUAAUACGGAGGAUCCGAGCGUUAUCCGGUUUUAUUGGGUUGAAAGGGAGCGUAGGAGGAUUGUUAAGUCAGUUGUGAAAGUUUGGGGCUCAACCGUAAAAUUGUAGUUGAAACUGGCAGUCUUGAGUACAGUAGAGGUGGGCGGAAUUCGUGGUGUAGCGGUGAAAUGCUGAGAUAUCACGAAGAACUCCGAUUGCGAAGGCAGUUCACUGGACUGCAACUGACACUGAGGCUCGAAAGUGUGGGUAUCAAACAGGAUUAGAUACCCUGGUAGUC